rnacentral:lncRNA from 1 species
CCGAUGAUUUCUUCUAAUGGUUAGCAAUGCUCCACCUCUAUCGGUAGAAUGAAGGAGGUCUCUCAUUUUUUAAAUUCAAAUUUCAGAAUUUAAAAAUUAAUAUUUUAUGUAUAUAGGAAAAUUUGAAUUUUAAAUAUUGAUGGGAUGUUCGGGGGAAUUUGAAAUUUAAAUUUCAGUGGUGAUGGGUUGACAGGGGCUUCUUUUCUUAGGGAUCCUUUUGUACUUUUUUUUUCUUAAUAAAUUUGGAUUCGUUUCUUUCUUUUUUUUUUAAUAAAUUUGGAUUGGUUUUUCUUUUCUUUUCAUCAAAACAAACAUGGCAUCAUAUAAAAAAAUAAAAAAAAAAGGAAGAGCAUGCCAUCCCAGAUCAUGUUAAGGCAAGAGUUGCUUGGACAACACAGGUACAAAUAUCCCAAAAAUUUGACCUAAAGAUAAAGAGAACAAAUGGUCAAAAGCCUAAACAAAACAAAUAUGUGCCUUGUCAGAUUAUUUAGUAAACUGCCAUCCAUUUAUAUAGAACUUCAAUCUUUUUUUUUUCUGAUGAAAUAUAGAGCUUCAAUCUUGAUGAUAUACAAUAACACAAAGUGACAUCCAGUUCGAC